CUGUGGGAGUUCUUCCCACUCCACCCGCUCCCUUCUCUUUCCCACUUCCUCCAGUUCUCACCCACCCCACCUCACCUCUCUUUCCUCAUGCUCUUUUCUCUCAUCCGCUCCUUCUCCUUUUUGCUUACAUGACUCCUCCUUUUUUUAUUCUCCUUUGUCAUUUGAAGCUCGCUAGACCAAGGGUCGGUGUUAUGCAUCUUUAACUUUUCUUCAUGAGAGGAUGACAUGGUGCAUAGCGGGAUGACAUGAUCCAGAAAUUACAAGAACAACAAAGUUUUGCAGACUUCCAGGUUAAAUGAAGAAGUCAGUCCAUUGUUUCCUUUGACGGCUACUCUUACAGCUGGAUUCUUAACUUUAGUUGCUUCCCAUGGUUUUGAUACUACAAGAAAUAAAUCACAAUUUAUUGUGCUGCUUAUUCACAUGUUUUGUGCCUUUUGUAGGGUUUUUGGAACACUAAAAGAGAAAGAGGAAGUUGUCACAACAAAGAAGACUUGCUCAGCGAGUUAUGCUUGCCUAGCGAGGGAGGUUGUUUUGAAGAGGACACGUGAUAUCUUAGAAAUGAAGGAAGAUGGUCUAGAUCAUUUUCACAGCUUGCCUACUGAGUAGAACAAACUGAAGAGUGACCUUUGGAAUUCUCAAAGAAACAAAGGCCUUGAACCCAUUAUAAGGGGGACACUCCCUUGAGAUCAAAGGGAAUCAACUUAGGGCACAAUGAAGAAUGAAGACAGAGAGCACUCUAGGCUUCUUCUUCCUUGUUUCUCAUCAUUUUCUCUCCUUCCACUCUUGUAUUUCUUCAUUUUGUAAGACCUCUCAUGACAAUGAGAGGCUAAAUCACUCAUUGUUGGAGGCUUGGUGCACUAAACACUAUGAUGUAAUUAUCUUUAUUAUCUAUUCAAUAUUAUUUUCAGUUUUAUUGCA